AGGCUGAAAUCGACAUCUUUUCACACAAAGUUAUCACCAGUGUGCUUUGCAUCAGCAUCAGUGUGCAUGCCAGUAUUCAACAUUGUUCAGAAGUCAUGAGGCUCAAAUCGACAUCUUUUUCAAAGUUAUCACCAGUGUGCUUUGCAUCAGUAUCAGUGUGCAUGCCAGUAUUCAACAUUGUUCAGAAGUCAUCAGGCUGAAAUCGACAUCUUUUCUCAAAGUUAUCACCAGUGUGCUUUGCAUCAGUAUCAGUGUGCAU